GCCUGGGUGGCUUAGUCGGUAAAGCAUCUGCUUUCAGCUCAGGUCAUGAUCCCAGGCC
rnacentral:tRNA from 1 species